AUCCAGCUGACGAGUCCCAAAUAGGAUGAAGCGCACCUCCUGUAU
rnacentral:hammerhead_ribozyme from 1 species